GCCUGGUCAGGGUGGCAAACAUAUUUUGUUUUGCACAGCAGGACACAGGAUGUGCAAGGGCUGUUCACAGGCACAGCAGAACUCUCCCCUCCGUGCCAUGGGAAGUUCCCCCAGAGCCCUGUGCGGCACAGAUACCCAGGGGAAGGGCCCCUGUCUCCGCCUUCCGGCUGUCCACACGGCAAUAACGUUCCGAGUCUAUGGCGAGCAGCCUGCUGCAGGACACUGACUGUCCCUCCUGGAGGCACCAGGGCUCAGUUCCUUGAAAUGAUUCUACUGCAUGAAGCAACCCUGUUGCAUUUUAAGAAAUACACGGCUCUCCUGGAAAGAGAUCAUCGAGGACAGAAGGCGAAGGUGCUGAUAAUGGAGAACAGUCUAAAUCAGGGCGGAACUGCAUGCUUCCUGCCUUGAGAACGUCAGAGCGCACUGGUCUUGGGUUCUGUCCUGGUGUUCUGGGGACAGAGAUCCGAAGGCUUGGGAUUUCCUGGGGAUGGAACUGAGGCCGAACCCAGGGACACAAGGGACCUUGCUCUAGACCCAGACCUGAAGGGUCCUGCUUUUCCACUAGAUCCAGCCACUCCCCUUCUAAGUACCUUCCCCAAAGAGUUAAAGCCACCGUAUUACAGUGACCCAUGCA
rnacentral:lncRNA from 1 species